rnacentral:rRNA from 1 species
AGAUUGAACGCUGGCGGCAUGCUUUACACAUGCAAGUCGAACGGUAACAGGCCGCAAGGUGCUGACGAGUGGCGAACGGGUGAGUAAUGCAUCGGAACGUGCCCAGUCGUGGGGGAUAACGCAGCGAAAGCUGUGCUAAUACCGCAUACGAUCUAUGGAUGGAAAGCCGGGGGACCGAAAGGCCUCGCGCGAUUGGAGCGGCCGAUGUCAGAUUAGCUAGGUUGGGUGGGGUAAAACGGCCCAACCGAAAGGCGAACGACUCUGUAGCUGGGUCUGAGAGGACGACCAGCCACACUGGAACUGAAGAC